GACGAACGCUGGCGGCGUGCUUAACACAUGCCAGUCGAACGGAAAGGCCCUGCUUUUGUGGGGUGCUCGAGUGGCGAACGGGUGAGUAACACGUGAGUAACCUGCCCUUGACUUUGGGAUAACUUCAGGAAACUGGGGCUAAUACCGGAUAGGAGCUCCUGCUGCAUGGUGGGGGUUGGAAAGUUUCGGCGGUUGGGGAUGGACUCGCGGCUUAUCAGCUUGUUGGUGGGGUAGUGGCUUACCAAGGCUUUGACGGGUAGCCGGCCUGAGAGGGUGACCGGCCAGAUUGGGACUGAGAUACGGCCCAGACUCCUACGGGAGGCAGCAGUGGGGAAUAUUGCACAAUGGGCGGAAGCCUGAUGCAGCAACGCCGCGUGCGGGAUGACGGCCUUCGGGUUGUAAACCGCUUUCGCCUGUGACGAAGCGUGAGUGACGGUAAUGGGUAAAGAAGCACCGGCUAACUACGUG
rnacentral:rRNA from 1 species